GUCUACGGCCAUGCCACCCUGAACAAGCCUGAUCCCGUCUGAUUUCGGGCCUGGUUAGUAGUUGGAUGGGAGAUCACCUAGGAAGACCAGGUGCUGUAGGCU
rnacentral:rRNA from 1 species